AACCUAGCACACCUGCGGUGUGUACCUGCGGAGGGAUCAUUACAGAGUUCGUGCCCUCGCGGGUAGAUCUCCCACCCUUGUGUAUUCUCUACAUCUUGUUGCUUUGGCAGGCCGUUGGUUCGCCAACCACCGGCUCGCGGGCUGGUGCGUGCCUGCCAGAGGACCUCUCAAACUCGGUUUGUCAGUGUCGUCUGAGUACCAUAACAAUCGUUAAAACUUUCAACAAUGGAUCUCAGAUCG
rnacentral:misc_RNA from 1 species